UUAAGCGACUAAGCGUACACGGUGGAUGCCCUGGCAGUCAGAGGCGAUGAAGGACGUGCUAAUCUGCGAAAAGCGUCGGUAAGGUGAUAUGAACCGUUAUAACCGGCGAUGUCCGAAUGGGGAAACCCAGUGCAAUUCGUUGCACUAUCGUUAACUGAAUACAUAGGUUAACGAGGCGAACCGGGGGAACUGAAACAUCUAAGUACCCCGAGGAAAAGAAAUCAACCGAGAUUCCCCCAGUAGCGGCGAGCGAACGGGGAGCAGCCCAGAGUCUGAAUCAGCUUGUGUGUUAGUGGAACGGUCUGGAAAGUCCGACGGUACAGGGUGAUAGUCCCGUACACCAAAAUGCACAGGUUGUGAACUCGAAGAGUAGGGCGGGACACGUGGUAUCCUGUCUGAAUAUGGGGGGACCAUCCUCCAAGGCUAAAUACUCCUGACUGACCGAUAGUGAACCAGUACCGUGAGGGAAAGGCGAAAAGAACCCCGGCGAGGGGAGUGAAAAAGAACCUGAAACCGUGUACGUACAAGCAGUGGGAGCACCUUCGGGUGUGACUGCGUACCUUUUGUAUAAUGGGUCAGCGACUUAUAUUCUGUAGCAAGGUUAACCGUAUAGGGGAGCCGCAGGGAAACCGAGUCUUAACUGGGCGUUAAGUUGCAGGGUAUAGACCCGAAACCCGGUGAUCUAGCCAUGGGCAGGUUGAAGGUUGGGUAACACUAACUGGAGGACCGAACCGACUAAUGUUGAAAAAUUAGCGGAUGACUUGUGGCUGGGGGUGAAAGGCCAAUCAAACCGGGAGAUAGCUGGUUCUCCCCGAAAGCUAUUUAGGUAGCGCCUCGUGAACUCAUCUUCGGGGGUAGAGCACUGUUUCGGCUAGGGGGUCAUCCCGACUUACCAACCCGAUGCAAACUACGAAUACCGAAGAAUGUUAUCACGGGAGACACACGGCGGGUGCUAACGUCCGUCGUGAAGAGGGAAACAACCCAGACCGCCAGCUAAGGUCCCAAAGUCAUGGUUAAGUGGGAAACGAUGUGGGAAGGCACAGACAGCCAGGAUGUUGGCUUAGAAGCAGCCAUCAUUUAAAGAAAGCGUAAUAGCUCACUGGUCGAGUCGGCCUGCGCGGAAGAUGUAACGGGGCUAAACCAUGCACCGAAGCUGCGGCAGCGACACUAUGUGUUGUUGGGUAGGGGAGCGUUCUGUAAGCCUGCGAAGGUGACCUGUGAGGGUUGCUGGAGGUAUCAGAAGUGCGAAUGCUGACAUAAGUAACGAUAAAGCGGGUGAAAAGCCCGCUCGCCGGAAGACCAAGGGUUCCUGUCCAACGUUAAUCGGGGCAGGGUGAGUCGACCCCUAAGGCGAGGCCGAAAGGCGUAGUCGAUGGGAAACAGGUUAAUAUUCCUGUACUUGGUGUUACUGCGAAGGGGGGACGGAGAAGGCUAUGUUAGCCGGGCGACGGUUGUCCCGGUUUAAGCAUGUAGGCUGGUUGUCCAGGCAAAUCCGGAUAAUCAAGGCUGAGGUGUGAUGACGAGGUACUACGGUGCUGAAGUAACAAAUGCCCUGCUUCCAGGAAAAGCCUCUAAGCAUCAGGUAACAUUAAAUCGUACCCCAAACCGACACAGGUGGUCAGGUAGAGAAUACCAAGGCGCUUGAGAGAACUCGGGUGAAGGAACUAGGCAAAAUGGUGCCGUAACUUCGGGAGAAGGCACGCUGGUGUGUAGGUGAAGUCCCUGCGGAUGGAGCUGAGACCAGUCGAAGAUACCAGCUGGCUGCAACUGUUUAUUAAAAACACAGCACUGUGCAAACACGAAAGUGGACGUAUACGGUGUGACGCCUGCCCGGUGCCGGAAGGUUAAUUGAUGGGGUUAUCCGUAAGGAGAAGCUCUUGAUCGAAGCCCCGGUAAACGGCGGCCGUAACUAUAACGGUCCUAAGGUAGCGAAAUUCCUUGUCGGGUAAGUUCCGACCUGCACGAAUGGCGUAAUGAUGGCCAGGCUGUCUCCACCCGAGACUCAGUGAAAUUGAACUCGCUGUGAAGAUGCAGUGUACCCGCGGCAAGACGGAAAGACCCCGUGAACCUUUACUAUAGCUUGACACUGAACAUUGAGCCUUGAUGUGUAGGAUAGGUGGGAGGCUUUGAAGCGUGGACGCCAGUCUGCGUGGAGCCAACCUUGAAAUACCACCCUUUAAUGUUUGAUGUUCUAACGUUGGCCCCUGACCGGGGUUGCGGACAGUGUCUGGUGGGUAGUUUGACUGGGGCGGUCUCCUCCCAAAGCGUAACGGAGGAGCACGAAGGUUAGCUAAUCCUGGUCGGACAUCAGGAGGUUAGUGCAAUGGCAUAAGCUAGCUUGACUGCGAGCGUGACGGCGCGAGCAGGUGCGAAAGCAGGUCAUAGUGAUCCGGUGGUUCUGAAUGGAAGGGCCAUCGCUCAACGGAUAAAAGGUACUCCGGGGAUAACAGGCUGAUACCGCCCAAGAGUUCAUAUCGACGGCGGUGUUUGGCACCUCGAUGUCGGCUCAUCACAUCCUGGGGCUGAAGUAGGUCCCAAGGGUAUGGCUGUUCGCCAUUUAAAGUGGUACGCGAGCUGGGUUUAGAACGUCGUGAGACAGUUCGGUCCCUAUCUGCCGUGGGCGCUGGAGAAUUGAGGGGGGCUGCUCCUAGUACGAGAGGACCGGAGUGGACGCAUCACUGGUGUUCGGGUUGUCAUGCCAAUGGCACUGCCCGGUAGCUAAAUGCGGAAGAGAUAAGUGCUGAAAGCAUCUAAGCACGAAACUUGCCCCGAGAUGAGUUCUCCCUGAGACUUUAAGUCUCCUGAAGGAACGUUGAAGACGACGACGUUGAUAGGCCGGGUGUGUAAGCGCAGCGAUGCGUUGAGCUAACCGGUACUAAUGAACCGUGAGGCUUAACCUU
rnacentral:rRNA from 1 species